rnacentral:rRNA from 1 species
UACAGAGGUCUCAAGCGUUGUUCGGAUUCAUUGGGCGUAAAGGGUGUGUAGGUGGCGCGUAAGUCGGGUGUGAAAUUUCGGAGCUUAACUCCGAAACUGCAUUCGAUACUGCGUGCUUGAGGACUGGAGAGGAGACUGGAAUUCAUGGUGUAGCAGUGAAAUGCGUAGAGAUCAUGAGGAAGACCAGUGGCGAAGGCGGGUCUCUGGACAGUUCCUGACACUGAGACACGAAGGCCAGGGGGAGCAAAACGGG